AAUGAACGUUGGCGGCGUGGAUUAGGCAUGCAAGUCGAACGAAUCCCCGGGGCAACUCGGGGGGAAGUGGCGAAAGGGGCAGUAAGGCGUGGGCAACCUACCCCGGGGACGGGCAUAGCCGUCCUAACGGACGGGUAAUUCCCGGCGAUGUGGCGAUGGGGCAUCCCGUUGCCAUGAAAGGAAUCUCGCCUCGGGAGGGGCUCACGUGAUAUCAGCUUGUUGGCGGGGUGACGGCCCACCAAGGCGACGACGUCUAGCGGGUGUGAGAGCACGACCCGCGCCACUGGCACUGAGACACUGGCCAGACUCCUACGGGAGGCUGCAGUCGAGGAUCUUCGGCAAUGGGCGCAAGCCUGACCGAGCGACGCCGCGUGUGCGAUGAAGGCCUUCGGGUUGUAAAGCACUGUCGAGGGGGAGGAAGGCCGCAAGGCUUGACCUAUCCCUGGAGGAAGCACGGGCUAAGUUCGUGCCAGCAGCCGCCGUAAUAC
rnacentral:rRNA from 1 species